CCUACGGGUGGCAGCAGUGAGGAAUAUUGGUCAAUGGACGAAAGUCUGAACCAGCCAAGUCGCGUGAAGGACGACUGCCCUAUGGGUUGUAAACUUCUUUUAUAAGGGAAGAAAAAAGGGUAUGCGUACCAUCUUGCAUGUACCAUAUGAAUAAGCAUCGGCUAACUCCGUGCCAGCAGCCGCGGUAAUACGGAGGAUUCGAGCGUUAUCCGGAUUUAUUGGGUUUAAAGGGAGCGUAGGUGGGUUUUUAAGUCAGUUGUUAAAGUUUGGGGCUUAACCGUAAAAUUGCAGUUGAAACUGGAAGUCUUGAGUACAGUAGAGGUAGGCGGAAUAAGUGGAGUAGCGGUGAAAUGCUUAGAUAUCACGAAGAACUCCGAUAGCGAAGGCAGCUCACCGGACUGCAACUGACACUGAUGCUCGAAAGUGUGGGUAUCAAACAGGAUUAGAUACCCCGGUAGUC
rnacentral:rRNA from 1 species